CCGUGAAGUGUUCGGAUCGCGGCCUGUGGGCGGUUCGCCGCCGGCGAGUCGCGAGAAGUCCACUGAACCUUAUCAUUUAGAGGAAGGAGAAGUCGUAACAAGGUUUCCGUAGGUGAACCUGCGGAAGGAUCAUUG
rnacentral:rRNA from 1 species